rnacentral:tRNA from 1 species
GGGGGUACAGCUCAGUAGUAGAGUGCGUGCUUGGUGUGCACGAGGUCCUGGUUCAAUCCCCAGCACCUCUG